UCCACACAAUUAACACACGGUCCCAUUUCUUCUCCGCUUUGCCUGUCAUCUCCCGAAGCGCUCUCUCUCUCUCUCCCUCUCUCUCAUUGGGGAAUGGCGCCGGGUGGAGAGCAUCUCCGUCGCCGCCGGCGACGUGUGGUGCGGCGGGCGUGGCGCGACGCCCCAAGGUCGCUAAGGAUCUAGUGCUACACCGCCUCCUCCAUGCGGUCAACGGCGAGCCACCACUGCCCACAAAUGCUACCGGAGCGACGAGCGGCGGCCGUGCAGCGCGGAGGGGCGGAGCAUCCUCUACAAUGCCCAGCUCUUCCCAUGCGGUCAACGGCAAGCCGCCAUCUCCCCCGAAGCUUAGUCUAGGGUUUGGGUCGGGAUGGCUGCUGCUGGCUGCAGUUCGAUUCACAGCACCAUCCCCCGCCUCCUAGUUCGCAGCUGAUUCAUUUUCUAGUUCCUUUCAUAUUGCAGGCCAGCAAAAGAGUUCACUUUGGUUCUGCAAAAGUGUAAACCAACUUGGGCGAAUUGUUCUCCCAAAGGUCAGUUAUCAAUGUACUAAAUUCUCUUUAGGAUUUCUCUUUUCCACUUGUUCCAAACACACUCUUUUCCUUCAACUAUUUGAUACUGGUUACUGAUGAAUGAAUUCCAUGGGUUGCAGAGUAACUUUACCUUCUUAGCAUUUUGGAUGAUUUUACUUUUUUUUUUAAUUUUGUAGGUAACUUGUGUCAAAUGGAUAAGAAAAUUACAUAUUCUUGUCAGCAUUUUUUUGUGUUACGAUGAUCUACCAUUUUUGUUGAUUCAAUUUUUUCUUGGUGCAUUUUGCAACACAUAUAUUAGCUAGAAAACCACGCUUUCAGUACAGUUUUUUUUUUGAAAAGGUUUUCAGUACAGUUUUGAUCCUCAGUUUUGCACAUCCUAAUUGGGUUACCAUAACCUGAAUUCGUUUCUACUAUAAAUAGCCUGGUCAAUGGCCAAAUCGUAUUUGUUGGAUCGUUCGUUCACUCUCCAUGUUCUGCUUUUGUCCUGUGAUCUACUAGGAUCAGUUAACCUCGAUUCGAUAUGUAUCUGCAGGUUUGAGAUGUAUAUCUGUUGAUCUAGACUUUGCUGUGAUUGUCACGCUGCUUUUUGGCCCAAGUUUGAGCUAUUACCUAAUACUACCUCCGGAUCAUUAUAUUUGAUGCUGCGGACAAGAAUUUUGGCCUGCAGCCAGUUCAAAUUGUUUGUCGGAAACGACAAAUAAAAUGAACCGGAGGUAGUAUAUCUGAGAUGAUAUAAAAGAACACUAGUUCAGCUGAAACUUUAUUUUUGUCUUCACCGAAUUGAUCGCAUGCAUCCUGGAAUCUAUAAUCCAUAUUUGUUGCCUUUGCCCUUUGCCUUCGGCACCCUAUUCACAUUCCUACCACUGUGUUUUUUUUUCCUAGCUGACAUAUAUUCUCAAUCUGGAAGUUAAUAGUCAGUUUCGUCGGAUUUAAAGAGUAGAGGUUUAUGAGUAGCAAUCGCAUGUCCUUUUUUUAUCAGUUCAUGGCUGCCAUCUUUUACUAUUUAGGUUGGGUUAUAAGUAAGGUCUAUUUAGUUCUUGCAUUGCCAUCACCGCAUCGCAGGCCACCACGCCCCAGCAGCAGGAUGCCGUACUAUGUUUGCUUCAUGUUGUAGCUUAGGCAUGCCGAAGAAAACAAGCAGCAGCUCAGUUCAUUUUUGCGUCGUGGCACGCCAAAAGCUUGGCUGACGAUUCGUUUGCUGCAGCUUAGGUGCGACCGGAGCUGCGGCUAGGCAUAUUCUGGUGGCAACCAAACAGGGCUGUAGAAUCUCAAUCCUGGCCACUUUUUUGGUUUUUUUGUUCAUUCAUCGAAAGAGUAUGUAUUUAUAUACCCCCUGGAUUGAACAUUUUGCUUCCAAAGUAGUACGUUUUUCCAUUUUAGAAAAUAAUCAUGUUCUUCAAUAGGACCACCUCUUACAUAUCAAUAUCUUAAUAGUUUCUACACGAUUUUUCAUUCUGCAAUUAGUAUAAAUUUUGUAGGUAACCUACAUUUUCUUGGGUCAUGUGAUUUAUGGAGGAUUUUUUUUUUUAAUUUUGCCUUUCUUGAUACACAUCAAAUAUUUGUGAAAAGCACUAUCUAUCAAUAAUGUACAGCUGAACCUAAUCAUAGUAGUUCUGUUAGUGUGUUUUGAUCUUGGUGAAAUUGUUUUGGUGCGAGUAACAAGCCCACCAUUUUGCUAUGUUUGUCAUCGAGCUAUGCUGGUGUAACUAGCCCAAUUUUCCAAAACAACAUGGUUCAGUAGGCAAUAAUAUGGUUCCGAUUAUUCAAUUUUAUAGUUAUGGAUAAGCAAAACAAUGUACUUUGUUAGGCAAAGUUACGGUUCUAGGAAAUAUGGACAGGAGUUUCAUGGUUGGUUUACCCUUGCCAAGCCGUGACUACUUUUUGUUUACCUUUUGGUCUAGGCACUUGGAAAAAAUAGGUUAGGCAAAUUGCUGUACUUAGAUAGGCAAAGUAUUGUUAUUAGUUAGGCAAAGUACUGUUAUUAGUUGGGCAAAUUAUUAUUUUUAAUUUGGCAUGUUAUUGUUCUUCAUUUUAUUUUAGUAGCCAAAGUAAGAUUUCUUAGCAGCAGUUGGUUCCAAUGUUGACAUAACCUUCUUAGUAAGCAUAGUAGCGGCAAAGUAUUAUCAUUUGAGAUUAUCCGUGGGUCCUUCACGUUUUGAAAGUGUUGUGGAUCCUCGUAGUAAUCUUUUCUAUUAACAUGAUAUAGAAUAGAAGCGUAUGUUUUGGGGUGCUGAAUUGAGAAGCAUAUGUACCUCUGUUGAUGGAACAUGGACAGGAAUUUACUAAGUAAAAUACAUGGAUUUGCUCCAUUGUGAUUACUGACAUGCUAUUCUUCAACGCAUUGCAGGUCAUGAAGUGGACGGGAAGGGAAGCAAAUUUGCAGACAUCGUUUAUGAACAUCUUUUUUGCUGGUAAUAUAAUGCGGAUACACAGUAUCAUAUUGUUGAUUGUAAUGUGCAAAGUACUGUUAGUACCGUUAUUAGUUAGUUGAAGUAUUGUUCAGUAAUUUAUUUUAGGGUAGGUAUAUUAAGUUGAGCACGUGACCGGAUUUCUUUAAUGGGGCAUUGGUGAAUUGCCUCCAUCUUGGUAGAAUGAAUAUCAUGUGCUAUAAAGUGGCUCAAGAGAAGAUAGCAAUAAUACGUGUGCAGUGUGCACUAUUGUCCUUAUAGGUAUAUAGUACUAAAUUGGAAACUAUGUACAGUUCUUGGUGCCAGAAGUGCUGCGCAGCAUGCUGUGUUGUGUGGGUGCUGUCGGGCCGCGUAGAGGAACCAAAAUGGCUAAUAUGCCAAAAAAGGAAGUCCCUCCAUUAGGUGGUUUCCUAAUUAAGGCCGGCCGUACGGACGGGCUAAUUUAGCCACGUCCGUAUUAAAAAGGAAGAUGAUGUCUGAAGGUCCAAAAAUUGUAUGUACAACCACAAAAAAGAAUUAGCAGUUUCAUAAAUAGCAUUUUGGCGAAGUACGGGAUGAUAUUCUAGCGAAGCCCACUACUUGAUCAUUUCCACCAAUUUCAAGUUGCUUUGAUUUAUGAAAAGUUUGUUUGGAUGGAAAAUUCGUCCACCUGGUUUUAUUAAUUUGCAAAUGACAAUGCUGAAAUCGCAAAUUUCUCCAUCCUAGACCUAAAACCUAAACCCGUCGCCUCCUUCCCCCCUCCUCCCUGCUUCCGCCGCCGCCACCAACCUUCCCACGAAGCUCUUGUUCCACAACUAACCGCAUGGCAGAAUUUCAUUAAGCACCCACGGAUCUGAGGGGCUGAUGACACCAGCACGGCGGCGGCGCCUCCUCGCCGAAUCUUCCGAGCGCUCGGUGCUCACCACCUCAACAUGGCCACCGCGGCCUCCCUCAGCGUCAACCUCCCGGCGCUCACCACCCACUGCCACCUGUGCGCCGUCGAUGGCCUCCUCGUCCUCUUCCACAGGAUCACAAAAGCCAUCUGCCUCCUGGACCCUCUCAGCAACGCCGUCACCGAGUUCCCCGCCAUCUCCUCCAUCGUAGCGACAGUGCCCACGAGGGAGCACCACUUCGCCAUGUUUCUUCGGAAUAAUCCUAGUGGUGUCGACGGCCACUCGAUCAACGGUGCAGGCUUGGAUGAAUCCACCUCCCCGCCCACCCUCGUGCUCUGCCUGAGGGACAAUCUAUCCAACUUCAUCUUCGCCAAACCCGGUGAUGCACACUGGACGCUGGUGAACCAAGGCCAGGCGUAUCAUCACUCGAUGAUGGGUAGGGUUCUGAUCCAUUCCUUGCUGUCCCAAGGAGGGCGCUGCUAUGUCGCCUCCCCGGAGGGGUCCAUCUUUCUGGUGGAGCUGGGGCCACUGCCUCAGCUGGUGGAAAUAGUCAACCAGCGCCAGCGAGCAACCAGGGAGUGAUGACGGGAGGAUGCUCAUGGUGGCAGGGGAGCCAACAAUCAGACGGAGCUAUUCACGGUUGGUGGUGUCACUGGCCGCAUUGAGGUGUCAGAGGUGGACAUUGCUGGGAGGACGCUCAUACCUGUGAGGAGCCUUGGGCGCUACGCGGCAUUCAUCGGCAUGACACACUGCAUGCUCGUCUCCACCAGGACAUUCCCCUCCGUUGUUGCUGAUGCGAUGUACCUGGGCUACCAUUAUCAGCUCAGUCGGAAGUUCAGUAUCUAUCAUCCCAAGAGUAGGAAAGCUGAGCCGCCGCACGAGUUUGGCCUUGAAGAAAAUCACAAGGUAGUUCCCCAUGCCAGGCCCUGCAACCUUGACCAAUAUCUCGUCUGUUACGUUGACCGCAAACACAGGUUGAGUGGUCCAUGUAUCAAUCAUGUAGCUCAUUACUCAAUAGGUUGAGUGACUCUGUUUAAUUUGACAUGUAAUUUUAUCA